rnacentral:tRNA from 1 species
AAAGGGAGACCUAAUUCAGGUAGGAGACGAAAAAAAAGUAGUCCCUACCAAGAAUCAAUCCCAAAAGGUCGGAACGAGGUAUGAGGCUUUCAAACUAGGUUCUGGGUUCAUAAAAGACCUGAAUCAGGAACAAGGGCUAUUAGCUCAGGUGGUUAGAGCGCACCCCUGAUAAGGGUGAGGUCCCUGGUUCGAGUCCAGGAUGGCCCACCUGCACAGGUGGCAAAAACAAGAGAAGCGAGGAAUCAGCACCUAAUCUUACUUAUAUAGUAAGAGAGAAUGCUGGCUCUGAGUACAGAGUCCAGAGGAACCUUGAAAACUGCAUAGAGCUAGGUGAAAAAGCCAAAAAAGAAGACCGCAAG